rnacentral:rRNA from 1 species
CUUACCGAUGGCGACCGGCGCACGGGGUGAGUAACACGUAUCCAACCUGCCGAUAACUCGGGGAUAGCCUUUCGAAAGAAAGAUUAAUAUCCGAUAGGAUAUCAAGGUCGCAUGAUCUUGAUAUUAAAGAAUUUCGGUUAUCGAUGGGGAUGCGUUCCAUUAGUUAGUUGGCGGGGUAACGGCCCACCAAGACGACGAUGGAUAGGGGUUCUGAGAGGAAGGUCCCCCACAUUGGAACUGAGACACGGUCCAAACUCCUACGGAAGGCAGCAG